UACGGGAGGGCAGCAGUGGGGAAUAUUGCACAAUGGGCGAAAGCCUGAUGCAGCUAUGCCGCGUGUAUGAAGAAGGCCUUAGGGUUGUAAAGUACUUUCAUCGGGGAGGAAAAACAAAACUAAUAAUUUUAUUUCUUGACGUUACCCGAAAAAGAAGCACCGGCUAACUCCGUGCCAGCAGCCGCGGUAAUACGGAGGGUGCUAGCGUUAAUCAGAAUUACUGGGCGUAAAGAGCACGUAGGUGGUUUUUUUAAGUCAGAUGUGAAAUCCCUGGGCUUAACCUAGGAACUGCAUUUUGAAACUGAAAUACUAGAGUAUCGUAGAGGGAGGUAGAAUUCUAGGUGUAGCGGUGAAAUGCGUAGAUAUCUGGAGGAAUACCUGUGGCGAAAGCGGCCUCCUAAACGAAUACUGACACUGAGGUGCGAAAGCGUGGGGAGCAAACAGGGAUUAGAUACCCGU
rnacentral:rRNA from 1 species